rnacentral:rRNA from 1 species
GACGAACGCUGGCGGCGCGCCUAACACAUGCAAGUCGAACGAGCGAGAGAGAGCUUGCUUUCUUGAGCGAGUGGCGAACGGGUGAGUAACGCGUGAGGAACCUGCCUCAAAGAGGGGGACAACAGUUGGAAACGACUGCUAAUACCGCAUAAGCCCACGACCCGGCAUCGGGUUGAGGGAAAAGGAGCAAUCCGCUUUGAGAUGGCCUCGCGUCCGAUUAGCUAGUUGGUGAGGUAACGGCCCACCAAGGCGACGAUCGGUAGCCGGACUGAGAGGUUGAACGGCACAUUGGGACUGAGACACGGCCCAGACUCCUACGGGAGGCAGCAGUGGGGAAUAUUGCACAAUGGGGGAAACCCUGAUGCAGCGACGCCGCGUGGAGGAAGAAGGUCUUCGGAUUGUAAACUCCUGUUGUUGAGGAAGAUAAUGACGGUACUCAACAAGGAAGUGACGGCUAACUACGUG